rnacentral:lncRNA from 1 species
CACCACUAUUUUGCUUUAAUUACUAUGAGACAUGACAAUAAAGAAGGUAAUAUCACAAUUUUAUUUUAUUUUUUUAAUCCAAAUUAGCUUCGAAGCAAAAACAAAAUUUAAGACUAAAGAGCACAUCUCAAAGCUAAACUGUCACACCUAAUUGAGUAGCGGUUUAGCCUUUGACACGGCACCAUUCUCAACUUUAUCUCUCCUGAAGUACUAAUAUUAUCCUAUAAUGUUACGAUAUUGGGGUUAAUUAUCAAUAAGAUCACUUGCUUUGUUUCAAUGUAUCAAGUGGAUACUGACUUUGUUUUAAAUGUAACUUUAUUUUUAAUAAGUGAUUGAAACGAGACCAACAAUUUGUCAAUGACCCGCUUGAUAUAUUCGAACGAAAAAAGUGAUCCAUUUGAUAAUUAACCCUUUCAAUAUUUGGGCAGAACUGUCAUACACUUGGGUGCUGGUAUAUGCUACUAGUCCAUCGGAAUAUCGGAUGGACUCCAUCCUAUAGUAUCAAUACUUGAAUCCAUCUGGAACUCAUGCAAAUUACAGUCUUCAGAGUGAAGUAGGACCAAAAUCUAAAUAGUCUUAACAGGGAUUCACUGCCCAAAAUAAAUAUUUAUACUCAAUCAAGAUUAUGAUAUACAAGUAAAAUGUGUUUUUUUUGUAAUUCAUCAGCUGCGAUUGGGUUGGUAUGGGCAGGAGUGGUACUUAAGGUUUUUAACAAAAUUAUAGGGGAAAGGAAGUUCGAAAGGCAAAAGAUAACAGAAAUCAGUCUAAGUUUUUAAAGAUGAGGAAUAUAUAUAUUCACAGAUUUGUGGGAUUGAACCAGAAAUCAUGAUUAUUAAUCCACAAAGUGGUCCAAGUAACAUCCAAUCUCUACCCCAAUUUUUUGUUUAAUCAAAGAACCAUGCUCAACUCAUUAAAAUUAAAAAUUCUAGCUCCGCUGAUUACUUUCAACUAAACUAAGCAUGAGAUUCACAAUUAAGGUAACAAACAACAAAUCUCAACUGGUACCGAUAUUUCAUUUACAAACAAAAAGGAAUUGCAAAAUGUUAUUCUUCGAUAUAAGUGAUGUGUGAUGGAAACAGAAUACCAAGAGGCGAGAGAUAGAUACCCUUCCGUUCAUAGCUUUCAAAGCAUUCCGAGCCUCGUCCUCUGACUUGAAUGUCACAAAACCAAACCCCUUUGGCCUUUGGGUUUUUUCAUCAAUUACAAGUUUAGCUGUAUCAACAAUUACCAGUCAUAUCCACACUAAAACCAAACUUACAACCAAGAUAAAACUAAGCUGAAAUUACCUUCUGUAACUGAACCAAAGCGUGAGAACAGCUUCUUCAGCUCUUGAUUGGUGGUGUAAAAUGAAAGCCCUACUCAACAAACAUAUGUCAAUCCUCUUUACAAAGCACCGAAUUAUAAGUAAAAGAGAAAUAAUCAAGGAGAGAGAUCAGUACUGGUCACGAAAAGCUGCCUGCUUAAAAGUUUCGCCAUUCAAAUCAAAUACCUAAGCCCCAAAAAUAAGUACUCGUUUCUCCGCCUUAUUCUCUUUUGUUUGCAUUAGUAUUUUAACUUUAAAACUUAGGGGCUGGUAUUGUAUCAUGACUUUUAAUGACAAAUUUUGGGAGGAUGACUUUAAUGGAUUUUAUAGACUUUUAAUGACUCUCUUUGACUUCUUAAGAUUUUCAAAAACAAUUCAUGACUCCCGAGACAAUGAUUUUUAAAAACUUUAACAGACUUUUUUUUACAAAUUCAUGACUUUGAAAUACUUUAAUAGACUUUUAUUAAAAUCAUAAAUAGUCUUUCUGAAACCCUCUAGACCUUUUGCUCUACCCUCUCGAUUUUCUACUAUACCCAAGUUGGGUGUAUGUUCACAAAUCUGGCGACUACAAAAUCGAGUACAAUGUAUUAUUGUUGUAUUAUAUAUAGCAGUGCUGGU